rnacentral:tRNA from 1 species
GUGAUAAUAGCUUAAUAUAGAGCACUGGUCUUGUAAGCCAGAGGUAAAUUUAACAUUUUUAUCACU